UACGUAGGGUGCGAGCGUUGUCCGGAAUUAUUGGGCGUAAAGGGCUCGUAGGCGGUUUGUUGCGUCGGCUGUGAAAUCCCGAGGCUCAACCUCGGGUCUGCAGUCGAUACGAGCAAACUAGAGUGUUGCAGGGGAGACUGGAAUUCCUGGUGUAGCGGUGAAAUGCGCAGAUAUCAGGAGGAACACCGGUGGCGAAGGCGGGGUCUCUGGGCAACAACUGACGCUGAGGAGCGAAAGCGUGGGGAGCGAACAGG
rnacentral:rRNA from 1 species